rnacentral:lncRNA from 1 species
CGGGUCUUCUCUCUGAUGUCUCGUGAACCUUCUACUUAUGAUAAUCCCUCGUUAUAUGGACCAGCUUCUGACAAUGAAAAAAUCUUUCUAGCCCAGUCUUACACUUUCCCAAUUGAGGCCUCUAGUUAGUGUUUCAUUGGGGUGGUUGAAUGGGUAUAAUGCCUUGAACCUGCUUUCCUUGCCUAAGUUUCUGGAACUCUAACUAUUUGUGGGGCCGUAAACUAUUUGGAAAAUACUUGUUCAAAAAUAUUUC